ensembl:lncRNA
GGAGAAAAGGGGAAUCAAGAUAUAUCAUGUACAGGUUCAAAUUCCCUUUGAUGAACGCGAUCAUUAUGUAUACUGCAAUUGUACCAUUAAAACUAAUUUUUACAGAAGAAAUACUAGUAUAUAUUCAUUGUAUAAAUUAAUGGGUUUCACUGUGACCUUUCCAUACAUGCAUAGAUCAAGCUUUAAUCAUACCCAUCUUCUUUCCCUCUCCAUCUAACCUUUCCUCCUGGUCCCUUUCUCCUUUCCUAACAGACUCUAUUCUAUUUUUAAGGUGAUUUUUUUGUUGUUUUAUUGUUAUUAUUUUGUGUUGAUGAUGGUGCUUUUGUUUAUGCUUAGGGUUUUUUGUUUGUUUGUUUGAUUGGUUGCUUGGUUUUGGUUUCCCACAUAUGAAAGAAAACAUGUGAUACCUAUCUUUCUGUGUCUGGUUUAUUUCACUUUGGAAUUAGCCAAGGUGUUCAUCAACAGAUAAAUGGAUAAAGAAAAUAUAGUACUACAUAGACACAAUAAAAUAUUAUUCAGACAUAAAAAUGACACCAUGACAUUUUGCAGGAAAAAUGGAUGGAGCAGGAAGUCUUUUUUCCUUUUCGUUAAGGAAAGAACUUUUGCUCUUCCUGCCAACCAUGUGCUUAUGUACUUUCUGCAGUUUUUUUUGUUUGUUUGUUUUGUUUUUUGCUUAUGUACUUGCCUAUUUGUUACCCAGCCACUCUUUGUUUAUGAGUAGAAUUAACAUCAAAAAUGACAGUUAUAUUUCCUAACGCUUAAGAAAGUGUUAACUGAUUUGUAUCAAUCUCAUCACACUAUUCAAAAAAUAUAAAAUGUCACAAUGGCCUUCUGAUUUUAACACUUCAACAAGUGCUAAUUAGACCUGGGUUCAUGCUUUUUGAAAAGCUGGGGAUUCUGACACAUCCUUGAUGACUCUGAUUCAGUAGGUGAAGAGGGGAAUGAACUAAAUCAAUAUUAUUUCAACUUGUCAACUACCAAGAAUGCAGCAGUAUCUAUCAUGAAAUUUUAGCAGCAUAUGCUGUUGAUACCUUGUGGUUGCUGUGGCUAAUAGGCUCAUUUGAAUGGGCAGUGGAAGUGCUGCUGGUGUUUUGAUAGUAAAUUGUGCAGACGUGUUUGCAUACUCUCUUAACAAAUAAAUGAUGGUUUCUGGAGAUUAUAAGUUUAGCUGAUGUUGUAUUGUUGAGUCUCUUGAGCUAACAUGUGCUGAUUUUAUUUUCAGUGGAGAUGAUGGCAAGAGUGAGUACAGAUGAUGUCCUAAUCGUAUCAGAGUACAGAACAGAUUCAAUCACUGGAGUAGUAGCAAUUGGAGGGAUGUGAAUACAGUUGAGGACCAGGUAUUAGUGUCUUAUGAUUCUGUUAAAGAGAUAGUUUGUGGUUUCAUUAGUAGUGGGAGUAAUUCAUGUUUCAGAUAAAAUUAGGUGAUUUAUUGGUAGCUUAAACUACAAUGGGAGAUAUAGCCAUUGUGUAUACAAAUGAAUUGUUAUUAUAGUCUCAUGACAGGAGCUUGAGUAAAAGUUGUGAUGCUCAUAGACUUGAGUAAUAUGAUCCUAGUAGUUACGGCUAUGAGCACAACUGAAGAGAUAAUUGUAGC